GGAGAGAGCGGAGGAGGGAGCGGGUGAGGCGCCGGAGUCCGCGCUCGGCCCGGGAGUGGCAGCCCGAUUGUCCGAGGAUUAAAAAGUAAGCAGCAUUGUUUGUUGGAGAGCCCUACAGAAAGUGGGAACAGCUUAGUCUUACUUUGUGCUGCUUUAGCGUGGCAACAGUCUCUUCUUCGUGGGAAGCCAGCGGAUGAAAGCUUAAGCAAAAAAGCUGAAGUACCAUUGUCACGUCGUUGUACGUGCCAUUCAAAGAAUUUUACAAACGAUGGCGAGGACCGAGGAACUUCACGUCAUUUCAACAGUCCAAGUAUACCACCUUCUGAAAGAAAUGGCACUUCAUCAACUUGUCAAGAGGUUGUUUUCUGACAGCGCGUCCGGUGUGAUCGUGGCUUCCGGGAAGAGGAUUGGCUGAAUGCCUCACUCCACCAUUCGGUGUGUCCUGCCGCCCCACGCCAAUCACUUUCUGAAGGCGCAUCCUUUCAGCAAUCUGAGGACCCAAGAUUGUGAGUCUGUGUCCUGGAGUGAUUUUGAGAAGAGCUCGUGGGAUGGCAGUAUUGCAAAGCAUAAAGUCUUGCUUCCAGAAAGCUCUCUGGGAUCCUCAGCAUCUUGCUGUUUUGGAGUCAAAGCCCUGAGAUCUUUAAAAAGCCAGCAAUGUUAGAACAUGGGCAGGACAAACAAAAGUCUCUGGGCUCCAACACCAAAUAAAAUAUUCUGAAUUUCUAGUAACCUGAGACGAGUGGAAAGGAAUUGGGCGUGUGGAGUGGAGGUGCGGUUUGGGCCAACUACGCAUCUGGGAGGAGAAAUGCCAUGCAGAGCAGCCUUUCUGGGGGCAUAAGUGUGGGACAUGUGUGCAGACCCCCGCUGCAGACAUUGCUGCUGCUGCCCUUCAGUUCCCUCAGCCCACUUGAGUCCCCGCAGUCCCUGGGAGCCAGUCCCCAGCAGGCCCACAGUGUCCCCCUGGAGCACCUGCAUCCACUCUCUGCCUGAGGGCUCUCUCCUGCACCGGGAGCU